GGGAAUAUUGGACAAUGGGGGCAACCCUGAUCCAGCAAUGCCGCGUGUGUGAUGAAGGCCUUAGGGUUGUAAAAUUCUUUCGCUAGGGAUGAUAAUGACAGUACCUAGUAAAGAAGCCCCGGCUAACUUCGUGCCAGCAGCCGCGGUAAUACGAAGGGGGCUAGCGUUGUUCGGAAUUACUGGGCGUAAAGGGCGUGUAGGCGGCGGUUUUAGUCAGGCGUGAAAGCCCGGGGCUCAACCUCGGAAUAGCGCUUGAUACUGAACUGCUUGAGACCGGAAGAGGGUAGUGGAAUUCCCAGUGUAGAGGUGAAAUUCGUAGAUAUUGGGAAGAACACCAGUGGCGAAGGCGGCUACCUGGUCCGGAUCUGACGCUGAGGCGCGAAAGCGUGGGGAGCAAACAGG
rnacentral:rRNA from 1 species